rnacentral:rRNA from 1 species
CAGUAGCCACGGGAAUACGUAGGUGGCAAGCGUUGUCCGGAAUUAUUGGGCGUAAAGGGCUCGCAGGCGGUUUCUUAAGUCUGAUGUGAAAGCCCCCGGCUCAACCGGGGAGGGUCAUUGGAAACUGGGAAACUUGAGUGCAGAAGAGGAGAGUGGAAUCCCACGUGUAGCGGUGAAAUGCGUAGAGAUGUGGAGGAACACCAGUGGCGAAGGCGACUCUCUGGUCUGUAACUGACACUGAGGAGCGAAAGCGUGGGGAGCGAACAGGAUUAGAUACCCCCGUAGUCCCUGUCUCUUAUAC